AUACGGAGGAUGCAAGCGUUAUUCGGAAUCACUGGGCGUAAAGGACGCGUAGGCGGGUUGGCAAGUCAGAUGUGAAAUCCUACAGCUUAACUGUAGAACUGCAUUUGAAACUGCUAACCUAGAGUAUGGGAGGGGGAGAUGGAAUUAGUGGUGUAGGGGUAAAAUCCGUAGAUAUCACUAGGAAUACCGAAAGCGAAGGCGAUCUCCUGGAACAUAACUGACGCUAAGGCGUGAAAGCGUGGGGAGCAAACAGGAUUAGAUACCCUGGUAGUCC
rnacentral:rRNA from 1 species